UACGUAGGGGGCAAGCGUUGUCCGGAAUCAUUGGGCGUAAAGAGCGUGUAGGCGGCCAGAAAAGUCCGCUGUGAAAACUCGAGGCUCAACUUCGAGCUGUCGGUGGAAACUUUCUGGCUAGAGUCCGGAAGAGGCGAGUGGAAUUCCCGGUGUAGCGGUGAAAUGCGCAGAUAUCGGGAGGAACACCAAUGGCGAAGGCAGCUCGCUGGGACGGUACUGACGCUGAGACGCGAAAGCGUGGGGAGCAAACAGG
rnacentral:rRNA from 1 species